CUGGAGGUAUCAGAAGUGCGAAUGCUGACAUAAGUAACGAUAAAGCGGGUGAAAAGCCCGCUCGCCGGAAGACCAAGGGUUCCUGUCCAACGUUAAUCGGGGCAGGGUGAGUCGACCCCUAAGGCGAGGCCGAAAGGCGUAGUCGAUGGGAAACAGGUUAAUAUUCCUGUACUUGGUGUUACUGCGAAGGGGGGACGGAGAAGGCUAUGUUGGCCGGGCGACGGUUGUCCCGGUUUAAGCGUGUAGGCUGGUUUUCCAGGCAAAUCCGGAAAAUCAAGGCUGAGGCGUGAUGACGAGGCACUACGGUGCUGAAGCAACAAAUGCCCUGCUUCCAGGAAAAGCCUCUAAGCAUCAGGUAACAUCAAAUCGUACCCCAAACCGACACAGGUGGUCAGGUAGAGAAUACCAAGGCGCUUGAGAGAACUCGGGUGAAGGAACUAGGCAAAAUGGUGCCGUAACUUCGGGAGAAGGCACGCUGAUAUGUAGGUGAGGUCCCUCGCGGAUGGAGCUGAAAUCAGUCGAAGAUACCAGCUGGCUGCAACUGUUUAUUAAAAACACAGCACUGUGCAAACACGAAAGUGGACGUAUACGGUGUGACGCCUGCCCGGUGCCGGAAGGUUAAUUGAUGGGGUCAGCGCAAGCGAAGCUCUUGAUCGAAGCCCCGGUAAACGGCGGCCGUAACUAUAACGGUCCUAAGGUAGCGAAAUUCCUUGUCGGGUAAGUUCCGACCUGCACGAAUGGCGUAAUGAUGGCCAGGCUGUCUCCACCCGAGACUCAGUGAAAUUGAACUCGCUGUGAAGAUGCAGUGUACCCGCGGCAAGACGGAAAGACCCCGUGAACCUUUACUAUAGCUUGACACUGAACAUUGAGCCUUGAUGUGUAGGAUAGGUGGGAGGCUUUGAAGUGUGGACGCCAGUCUGCAUGGAGCCGACCUUGAAAUACCACCCUUUAAUGUUUGAUGUUCUAACGUUGACCCGUAAUCCGGGUUGCGGACAGUGUCUGGUGGGUAGUUUGACUGGGGCGGUCUCCUCCUAAAGAGUAACGGAGGAGCACGAAGGUUGGCUAAUCCUGGUCGGACAUCAGGAGGUUAGUGCAAUGGCAUAAGCCAGCUUGACUGCGAGCGUGACGGCGCGAGCAGGUGCGAAAGCAGGUCAUAGUGAUCCGGUGGUUCUGAAUGGAAGGGCCAUCGCUCAACGGAUAAAAGGUACUCCGGGGAUAACAGGCUGAUACCGCCCAAGAGUUCAUAUCGACGGCGGUGUUUGGCACCUCGAUGUCGGCUCAUCACAUCCUGGGGCUGAAGUAGGUCCCAAGGGUAUGGCUGUUCGCCAUUUAAAGUGGUACGCGAGCUGGGUUUAGAACGUCGUGAGACAGUUCGGUCCCUAUCUGCCGUGGGCGCUGGAGAACUGAGGGGGGCUGCUCCUAGUACGAGAGGACCGGAGUGGACGCAUCACUGGUGUUCGGGUUGUCAUGCCAAUGGCACUGCCCGGUAGCUAAAUGCGGAAGAGAUAAGUGCUGAAAGCAUCUAAGCACGAAACUUGCCCCGAGAUGAGUUCUCCCUGACCCUUUAAGGGUCCUGAAGGAACGUUGAAGACGACGACGUUGAUAGGCCGGGUGUGUAAGCGCAGCGAUGCGUUGAGCUAACCGGUACUAAUGAACCGUGAGG
rnacentral:rRNA from 1 species